rnacentral:lncRNA from 1 species
CAAGAAUUUAUUUAAAACUUUUAAAUAAAUUUGACACAAAAUUUAUACAUCUAUUACAAUAGACAACUUAAAUACAAAUUUCAUAUAAUAUUCAUACAAUAUAUAGCUUAUAUACAACUUAUUUGCAAUUUCUAUACAAUAUUCAUACAAAAAUAAUUACAACUACAACAAGGUACAACUUAAAAUAUAAUUUUCGUACAACUUUAAUACAAGCUUGAUACAUAUAUACAAUGUUCUCCAGGCGGGCUCCUGACUGCUGAAACUUGAAAUGUAUGCAUCUUUUAUCCAGGCGGGAUCCUGACUUCUGAAACUUGAAAUGUAUACCUCUAUUAAAUUCAAUUUUAACAUACAACUAUAAUAUAUAUAUAUAUAUAUAUAUAUAUAUAAAUUAUUAAUUCAGUAUACAAUAACUCAAAAUUAUUAGUAGAAUUUUUGGCUCCAUCUCAAGAAAUUAUCCUUAUUUACUAUAUAGUCCUACGCAGGGGUGGAUUUAGGGGGCGCAAGGGUAUUCACCCAAACAUCCUUCGCCGAAAAAUUAUACUGUAUAUAUAAAAAAAUAAAAUUUAUUUGGUAACUACGAAGGGCUUACUUUAACUUGUUUUCAUGGCUGAAGACACAUAACUGUAACAAUUCCACCUCAAAUCCUUUUUCUGCACCAGGUGUACGUGGAGAGACAUUCCCAAAUGAUUCAAUUCUUAUCGGCAUAUGUUUUCCAACACCAUCAUCAUCACUACUCAAAUAUGUUGACGUCAUUAAAUGCCUAUUCAACCAUUCUACAGAAAGCGAAAAGCAGUACUGAAGCAGUCAUGGCGAAAAGCUUCCACCACUACUGUAGGAAAACAAUUUAAAGGUAGAAGACCUUUAAAUGUAAGAAGGAAAGAGAUUUUGUU